AUUGAACGCUGGCGGCAUGCCUUACACAUGCAAGUCGAACGGUAACAGGUCUUCGGAUGCUGACGAGUGGCGAACGGGUGAGUAAUACAUCGGAACGUGCCCGAUCGUGGGGGAUAACGAGGCGAAAGCUUUGCUAAUACCGCAUACGAUCUACGGAUGAAAGCGGGGGAUCUUCGGACCUCGCGCGGGCGGAGCGGCCGAUGGCAGAUUAGGUAGUUGGUGGGAUAAACGCUUACCAAGCCGACGAUCUGUAGCUGGUCUGAGAGGAUGAUCAGCCACACGGGGACUGAGACACGGCCCAGACGCCUACGGGAGGCAGCAGUGGGGAAUUUUGGACAAUGGGCGAAAGCCUGAUCCAGCCAUGCCGCGUGCAGGAUGAAGGCCUUCGGGUUGUAAACUGCUUUUGUACGGAACGAAAAGCCUCUUUCUAAUAAAGAGGGGUCAUGACGGUACCGUAAGAAUAAGCACCGGCUAACUACGUG
rnacentral:rRNA from 1 species